rnacentral:rRNA from 3 species
AAUGACUCUCGACAACGGAUAUCUCGGCUCUCGCAUCGAUGAAGAACGUAGCGAAAUGCGAUACUUGGUGUGAAUUGCAGAAUCCCGUGAACCAUCGAGUCUUUGAACGCAAGUUGCGCCCGAAGCCAUUAGGCUGAGGGCACGUCUGCCUGGGUGUCACGC